UAUGAUAAUAAAUAAGUGAAAAACAUGGAAGAAGCGUGCGUCCCCGCGAAGGAGUUGGAAGCGUUGCGUUUUCUCAACAAAAAUGCCAUGUAAUUCGGUAAACGAUCUGUCUGCGAGGAAAGGACGAGGUCUCGGGGAGAAGAGGGGCAAGGAGAGGAGUAAAAGGGGAAGAGGGCGCAGAAUCCGAUCUGCCGCCUCUCCAGCAAUCGAUAUGCCUGCGACCACGUGAAAACCACGCCGUUCGACGGGGACGACGCCAAAAACUCCCGACACCUUGUACUACUACUAUCUACUACUACUCUACUACUGCUCUAUUAUUGCUCUGUCCCAAACAUCGUAAAAAAUUGUUGUCGCCGGGUUGUGUCGUCGUCCAUGAUGAUUCAAAGGAUCUUCGAAAGAACGAAAAGAGAAUGAAACAAUGAUAAACAUUUUUCACGCUGAAAACGAAAAGAGAGAGGCGAAAGAGAAUUCCAAUUACUAUGCCAAUCAAACGCAUUACACACCACACACAACGAUCAGAAUGAAACGUCGUAUUACCGAACGACGAUUGUUUAAUAAUUUUACAAAUAUUAUAAUGUAAAUUAAAAGAUCAAACGUAUCCUCGUGCACAAACACUUUCAUCUUUCGUCGAGAUUUUCUACUUCGUCGAGAAAAUAUAUCAAGUUAAAACGAAAUAUUUCCUUCCUGAACGUAUUAUAACACAGCGGACAUAAUAAUCUUAAAUCACUAUGAACUUUCCGAAAGAAUUUCAAUAAACGAAGGACCGUUCUAAUUUCUAUUCCAAAGAUAAGCGAUAAUCCCUUUCUCUUUCCUCACCUCUUAAAACCACGUUAAAGAACGAGCCGCCCAACGUGGCGUGCGAAGAAUCGUAACGCGGGAGAAUAUACCUCUCCUCUCGGCACUCCACGUAGAUAGAAGAAGAAGAAGAAGAAGAAGAAACCGGUAUCGUCCCGAAGGAUAUACAUAAGCGAAUUCGUAGAUACGCGAUUUCAUUGUCGUCUCUCUCUUUCUCUCUUUCGUCCUGUCGGAGGCAACGUCGCCGCCCGAUCGUCACCGGGUGGUGUCCACCCUCCCACUCCACCUCAUCGGCCCUCCCUUUCUCUUUUGUCCCCUCUUCCUCCGACAAUUCUCUCUCUUUCUCUCUCUCUCUCUCUCGCUCGCUCGCUCGCUCGCUCGCUCCUCUUUCAUUCCCAACCUUCCGCCUAACGCACACACUAUCGCGUCGGUAGUUCGCAUACACCAAGAGUGAACGUCUCCUACGCGUGCGUGCGUGCGUGCGUGCGUGCGUGCGUGCGUAAGGUGUGCGUGCGUGCGUGUGAGAUAUAUAGAGAAAGAAAGAAAGACAGAGAGAGAGGGGGAGAGAGAGAGAGAGAGAGAGAGAAGACGAUGACGCCGCUAGCCUGUUUUCCUCUCUCUCGUUUCUGUUGCUAUGCGCGAGUGCAUGAGACCGGCCCCAUAUGGUGCGUUCACCACCAUCCUCGCCAAAAGCAGCCCAGGGCCACUACGAAGCGCGCGAUGAGAGGAGGGAGACGGAAAGCACAGAAGCACGCGCGGCUCUCCCUACGCUGAGAUAGAAAGAGCGAGAGCGAGAGCGAGAGCGAGAGAGAGAGAGAGAGAGAGAGAGAGAGAGAGAGAGAGAGAACAAGACGAACAAAUCCGACCAAGAGAGAAAGAGAAAGAAACGGUGGGUGGCAACAUAUAUAAGAUGCAUAGGCAUCUCUUUUUCUCUCUCUCUCUCUCUCUCUCUCUUUCUCGACUCAUCUCGCGACUUCGAAACGUCAUCCGCGAGACGACGCACCAAAGCGCCGAUCUUACGAAACAUUUCUUCUUCUAUCUCUUUUUUUCCCUUUUCUUUUUCCGUUUUUUUUUCUUCUUCUUCUUCUUUUCAUUCCUUUUUAUUCCAAUUUCCUUCCAUAAGUACGCGAUAAACACUCGCAAGAUUGAAAAACGUACUCGCGUUGAUAACUAUUUGUUCCUGCUAUUACAAGAUAAAUGAGAUGCAAAGAGACGCGCGUACCGACAAAGUACGAAGAACUACCUCCUCCUAAACGCUGCAAUAACGUUUAGGAGAAGAGAGAGAAAGAGUCUUCGGAGAAAUCUUACUAACCGUAUUCGCCAUAUUUGUUUGGCGCGAAGUACGCAAUCGUUUUAAUGAGAAAACUGUCGCGCGUCAACAAAAUAUCGUAGAUUUUGAAGAACGGGCGAAUGAUUAAAUUUGAUCAACAAUUAGAAUAAAUAGGAACGACACUUUCGUCGAAAUUAGACAUCGGCAAAGAUUAGAAAAGCCAAAAUACGCGCUCUUUUGAAUCUGCACCGGGAAGUGAAGAGGAUGGAUCAAGUAGACACUACUUAGUCCUCGAGCCGUUAGCGAUCGUCCUGCCAUCUUCUUCGAUUUUCUUUAUUUAAAGCGCGUAAUUUAUAUUCUCAAAAGCGUAUCGCUAAAUGAUCGUUUCUAUUUUUACUUCGCGCUCGAGCGUGAAUCGUUAAAUCGGAAAUAUCAGAAAAUGAUGCGUUUGGUUACGGUGAGAUGGUAAACGAUACGACGAGGAUUUCUCGCGUUUAUGCGACAAACGAAAUAAACUAGCGCUCAGUGAACAGCCCGGAUAGGGGCGUCCCACUUUCGAAACCCGGUUUGUUAAGUCUUAAUAGAACGAAAUUAUAAUGCUCGGGAAUAGAGUCGCGAAAUCGUCAACGUAGGAAAUUACUCGAGCUCGAGGACGCUCGCUGCUAUUAUUCUUUCCUGCGUUUUUUAAUAAUAUAUACAAGCUUUAGAAUCUCUCUCUCCCCCUUCCUCGCUCGUAUUAUUAAUAAAAUUUUGAUUUAGCACAGCGGAUUGAUAUUUGUUCUAUCGAAUUUUUAAAACGCAAUCCUCCGAUCGUAGAUCGUUUCUUCAUUCCGCGCGAUAAAGAGUAUAGAGAAUUUUCGAGAUAGAAGAAAAGAGAGGGUGUCUCUGUUAUGGUCGGAAGAGCACCGACGAUCGAGGCCGUUUUGCAAAGAGCAAGAAUAUAUAAGACAUCUUUUUUCGUGCGGUCCUCGGCAAGAGGGGUAAGAUAGAAGCGGAGGAGGAGGUCGAGAACGUGAGGAAGAUUACGAGGAGAAGAGAAGACGACUAACGCCAUCGGAUGGUCGUGGAGCCGUUAUGAAUCUCUGCAUCGAAGAAGAAGAAGUUGGAUAGAUGGAGAGGAGGAAGAGAGAAGAAACAGAGAUAGAAAUAGAGAAACGACUGCGGAGGAGGAGGAGGAGGAGGAGAGGUGACUAGGUAGGCAGCAGCUGGAGGGUGGGAGUAGACUGGCUGGAAUUGGAAGGGGAAUAUGACGGAAAGAGAGAUAGAGAGAGGAGAGAUAGGAAAGAUGAAGAGUAGGGAGAGAGAGAUAGUGAGAGAUGGAAGGGGCGUGAUCAGGACUACCGGCCGAGUCAUGAAUGAAGUGACAGACGAAACGAGCGAGAGAGCAGCCGCCGCCGCCGCCGGCCCAGGCCGUUCCACGACCUUCCGGAACGUCUGCGUUCCACUUCUUCCCACCUCCUCUCCCUCCUCGUUUUCCUUCUGCUCUUGCGCGUCCUCGCGCUUUUUCGCGGAUCCAACCGCGCGCGAUCUUCCAAUUCUCUCUCUUAUAUUCGUGAUUUAUCGAUUCUCCCAGUCCACCUUUGGAUAUCUCUCUCUCCCACCAUUUUCAAACGCACCAAAGAGCGGACCCCUCCGAACCAUUACGAUUCCUUCCCACCUCAUGAUAUUAGACAAAUCAAUAAUGAUACUUUCGCUCAAUGAUAUUCGUAGGAACUUUACGGCGUUGUUAAGGAGUUUGGUUGGGAAUUCGAAGCGCCUUCUCUUUCUUUCCUCGUUGAAAGCGCCGAGGAGAGGUCUCUCUCUCUCUCUGUGCCACUACUACUUUGUUCGCUUAUAACCGGCUUUCGAUUUUUUCUUUUGCUUUUUGUUGUUUCCUUUUUUGUUUCUUUAAAGUCUCAAGGUAACUUCACCGUUGCUACGUUACUUUCGUAAUUUCGCUUCGAAUCACGAUUCUUCCUUACUCGACCAGUUCCACUAAACAAAAGUCACUGCAAAGUAUGUAAAUUGUUAGAGAGAGAGAGAGAGAGAGAGAGAGAGAGAGAGAGAGAGAGAGAGAAAAGAAUCCGCGCGGUGCAUUAAUCGCGACUAUCUUGAAAUUCUUCGAAAAAGAGAAAUGGAACGGGGCACCGGCAACUAAUAAUCCGUGACUGCAAUGGUGGAACCGUUUCUGAGUCACUGAGUUCGAGCAACGGUCAACGGAAAGUUUUGGCAUGGCCAGCCAAAGGAGACAGAGCCUCGACGAACGAACGCGCACAUUCACAUGCACGCUCAGCCGUCUCUUCUGUGUUUGUCCAAGAGAAAAGAGACUCAGCGGCGAUUGGGAAUGCGCGAAGAAGCGAAGCGAAGCGAGCGUACGAACGAACGAAUUUCUUUCGUUCGAGACAAGAUCGAGAGAUCUUACUUGUCAAAUUUUCUUUUCGAAAAAGCCGCCGUGUAUAUUUUUCAAAAUGGCGGCUAACCGAGGAAGUAUUACGAACGCGUGACACGACGAACACGUGAGCAAAUAAAGAGAGAACGAACAGCUGUUGGAAAUUCGCGCUCGUUUCAAAUUUAUCCAUGAACAUUGUUCAUGUCUCUCUCUCUCUCUCUCUCUCUCUCUAUCUCCCCUUGAGUUUGAACUUGCAGAAGGUGUGUAAGCGUAACCGGCCUAUCUUUUAUUUUUACAGCUCCAGCUUUUUUUUCUUUCUUUUCACCGACUUCAAGGUCCCUUUGUAAAGAGUUUCUACGAAAAAAAUUUCUCUUUCUCUUUCUCUUUCUAACGUUUUAAUUCCGUCUCUUCGUUCAUCGAUCGAAUCGAGGAUCAACGAAGGAGAGCGCCGAUCGAAGAUUUCAAGGACGAAAGGCCCCUCUUCUUUCGAGGAUAGAAAAGGGAGUUGUUAGCGGACCGUCUUGAAACGAAAGCCUUUUCUCCUUCGUCCUUUGUUCCUUCGGAAACCAUCGAAUUUUUCUGGCUGGUCUAUAAUCUUGUUUAUUAUUUGAGAAGAAUCGAUCGAGUUUUAGUUCCGUCUAAUCUUUAUGACGUUAUCAACGUUCGCUCUAUGAUAAGAUAUUGCGUCGAAAUUAGAGAAAAAAGAGAGAGAGAGAAACAAUAAUCCGUUACUCGAUGUAAUCGUAUAGUUUACUUGUGCAAUGCAUCGUCGCAUAAUGACGUCGUUUAUUGGAUACAACCAAUUCGCACUCGAUUUAAUUAAACGCGUUCACGUUUUUGCAUUCCACGAGGGAACACAAUAAGAUACGUGGUGUUUAGGCCUUUUACUCCGUUUCUUAACGGUAUUCGAGCCGUGCUUGUGAAUUUACACCGCUAAGAAUCGAUGAAGAGAUCUUUCAACGAGAAAGAAAGCAAAGUUUAACUUGCCCUUCCAACUUCUCAUCAUGAAGAAGGCCUUGAGGAUCUUUCGGUUGGUUCUCUCGUGUCUACGACAUGUGUAUGUGGGUACGUAUGUAUGUAUGUCGUAUGUAUACAUAUUCAAGAAUCUAGACGUCCGAAAAGAAAAGCAAAAGAGUAGCGAGAAGAGAAGACCGAUUUUAUAUCUAUAUAGAAGAAUUAACCUUUUAUCGAGCUCUAUAAGCUAGUAAUAAAGUUCAAAUUAGAAAGAACGAUUUCAUUUCGAUGGGUUGAUCUAAUCGAAGAAAGAAAAGAAAAAAAAACAAAAAAGAGAUAAAAAGAAAAAGUAAAAAAAAAAAAAAAUAUAAAGAAAAUUAAUUCCAUCGAUCUAGCAAAGAUCAAGAUUUUCUUCAUCGAUUAUGAAGACUACUGAGAGAAAUGUGACCUUAUAAAAAAGGACGAAGAGACCGUCCGAUGAUCGAUGGACCACGAGUUAAAAGAGUCGUAUACGUAAGCUCGUAAAUUUGACCCCCACUAUCCCACCCUCUCCCUCUUCUUCUACUUUGAUGUAUGGACACCCUUUCUACGUAUGUCGUACACGAAGGGACGAGUAAAAGCGAGUGGCUGGCAUCUGGGUCGUCUUUAAUUAUUCGCGAAGCUAUUCUGACUUUUGACGAGCGCCCCAGGCGAUGGGAUUCGAUUCCACGUUUGCCCUUUUUCUCCUCGUCGAAACUAAACCUUCGACAUUCUUCCUUUUUUCCUUUUCUUCUUGCCCUUCCUUCGUUAUAUCUGUUACAGGCCGAGCUACGAUUCGAUGAAACAAAAUUUCAACUGAAAAUUCGUGAUCGAUCGAUCCCAAGAAUUCGAUUCGAAAAAAUAUUUCCCAUAUAAAAGUUUGAAGGAUGUUCAAAGAAGAAGAAGAAGAAGAAGAAGAAAGAAAGAGAAAGAGGGAAGGGGAAAGAGAGAAAAAGCUUUUCGAUUGGUAGUUCGUAUAGGUUCUUCCUCGCUUUGGCUAAGGGCUUCGCGAAUCGUUUCAUUUCUUCCUUCCUUUUUCUUUCCUCUCUCUCUCUCUCUCUCUCUCUCUCUCUCUCUCUCUCUCUCUCUCUCUCUCUCUUUCUCUCCCUCCCUACCCCCGUACUCUUUUCUCCUAUUUAUAUUCCUUAUUUUUCUGUUCUGCUUUAUUUUUUUGUCUUUUUCUUCCUUUCUUUCUCGCCCAUUCUCCCUCUGGGUCUUACAACAAACUCGAGAUACGGAACGUCAGGAUCGCAUAGAGGGCGAGAGACAGUUUUCUCUCGUAUAUAUGCUAAGUGUUUCGUGGUCUUGUCCAUUGUUUUCGCGUUGAGACUUCGUGGAUUGAUUUUAUUGCUUCUCCCCCGGCACAUCUCUCUUUCUCUCUCUCCCCCUCUCUUUCUACAAUUUCUACUAUGUAUUCUAUAUACUCAUUCUUGAAUUAUCGAGAGAGAGAGAGAGAGAGAGAGAGAGGGAGGGAGAGAAAAAGAGGAGAAAGAAAACAUUAGAAAAGUAAAGAAAACAAAGAGAAUCGGUCACGAGUCUUCUAGGACGACGCACGAACGAAGAAACCCGAGGCGGUAAGACGAUGAUUACAAGAACAGCAUGCAAUGCCGUUCCACCAAAGCUUUUUUCUCUCUCUUUCUCUUUCUAAUUCUCUCUCUCUCUCUCUCUCUCUCUCUCUAUCUCUCUCGCUCUCUCCAUUUUUCUUUCUUUCUUUUUUUCCCUUUCGAUGCACCUCCGUUAGCCGAUCAGGUUUUCUUUCCCCUUCUUCGUCCGGCGCACUAAUCACGGAUACAUUCGCGUUAUUUAUAUCGCCGUCCGUUUUAUCGAUAUCCUUGCUUUUGUGCCGUCGCGGUAACGGCACCGGAGCGGAACGCGAGACAGCUGGAGAAUACGAUCGAACUUCCCCCCUUUUCUCUAUUUCUCACAUACUUAUUUUCGAAAGCACGCGAUCCCUAUUUAACGCGGACUCACCCGUAGAAUAGCCCUUCGAACGUAUGAUUUAUGUAAAUCGUGGCUAAUUAAUCGUAAGCUAAAGAGAAAAAGAGAGAGAGAGAGAGAGAGAGAGAGAAAAUUCUUCGGAAGUUGCAAAUCCCGGAAAACUCCGUAGAAGGAUAGCUCGAAACUUUUCUUAACCCAUUUACGCUUACUGGGUCGUAAAUGACCUUCCUUUCUUUCUUCUUCUGGUCCAUGCAUCUAUCUCCUCGUCAGCCCUUUUCCACUCUCUUAUUCUCCGAUCCUCUCUUUCUUUCGUUUUCUUUUUUCUUUUAUUUUCUUUUUCUUUUUUUUUUUUUUUUAUGAUCGAUUGUCUUCCGAGAACAUGUUAUUAAUAUCGAACGUAAAAGAAAUCCUUCACUUGAAUUUAUUUUUCUCAAUUCGCCCGUUUAAUUUCUCACGUGAUAAAGAGGCGUCUCUUACAAACAAACAAAAAAUAAAAGAAGAAAAAAAAAAAUAAAAGGAAAAAUAAAGAAAAAUUGAAGUAUAAUGAACUUCGAAAGAGAGUUCGAGGUAGUCGAUCUUGGUUCAUCACGGUUGUCCACCUAAACGCAUAGUUAUUAGCCGAGCUGCAUCUCAACGGAUAUGCAGAAUUCCCCAGACCUCUCUCUCCCCUCUCAUUCCAUAGGAAUGUACCGAUGGAGCAGCUACGAGCUGCUCCUCUCUCGGCACCCUCUCUCUCAUCCUUCUCUUCUCCUUCGCGUCGUCCUCCUUUCUUUUUCUCUUCUCUUUCUCUCUCUCUCUCUCUCUCUCGCUCUCUGUCUCUCUCUCUCUAUCUCGUGCCACCGGUUACGACGGUGUGCCCGAGAAGUGUUAAUGCCGUCGUCUCGAACGUGGUUUGGCUUCGGUUGCCAAGCGAAUCCGCUGUCACUGGGAUUUCGAAAGGCACGUCACACGCUUGCCUUCCUUAUAUGUUCGUGGCCUUUACUACGGCCCACACGAGAAGAGGUCCUUUGCUGAUAAUACGAGAAGCCUGAAUAUGGCAAGAUACCGUCUAAUAAAUUGUUUUCAUCUUCGCUUCUUCUUUUUUUAUUUUUGUUCUAUUUUUUUUUUUUUUUUUUUUUUUUUUUUUGUGAAGAACAAAUUCUCACACGUUUCUUGAGGUAGAUAAGGAAUUCUUGGAAGAGAUAACGAUAAAUCAUUGAUCGAGAGUAUAAGAUAAAACUUCCAGAUGGAUGUGUAGGGGUAUAGUCAGCGUGCUUCGACCAUGAGCUCAACAGCUGUUUAUAUAUCAUAAGGCAAUAUCUAUCUCGCUCUCUCAUCCACCCAUUUAGUUAAAGUAACCUCCUACGGUAUAUACCGUGGCACUGCACUUUGCGAACCAUUUUGUAUUUUUGAUGGUACCACCUUCCAUGAAUUCUAUUUCUCUUUAACUCGCGUGGGUGACAAAUCUUCUUGCCAACUACCAGUAAUUAUCCUUUUUAUCCUUUGGACGCGUUUCGUUUGUUUACGCGUUAUCGCGUAUGUAUCUUUCUACGUUGGCGUCACAUCGGCUACGUCAGGCGUGACGUCACUAAACUGCAAUCUACAAGUAGCAAGAUGACCGAAAGGAUGAGCAAUGUCAAGGCUACCGAUACACCUCUUUUACCAAUCAUUGUCCAGACGAACAUUUCUUUAAAGGAAAGAAAGCAAGCAUAUGAAUGGAUGGAGUCCGCGGACUACGAAUCGAUCGACGAAAGAAAAAUACGAAAGAGGAAAGGAAAGAAGAAAAAAGUAAAGGAAAAAAGAAGAAGAAUGAAAAU